ensembl:lncRNA
GCUCCAUAUUUAGACCGGCGCGGUCCAGAUAUAGCGUGUGUAUUAACUGCAGCUCCAUUUGAAAGCAGGUGAUGGGGAUUUACCGCUAAUCAUAGAACCGGCUUUACUGACGAGAUGCGCAUGAUCAUAUCGGUCGAUAUAUUGUCCAGCCCUAACAGUGUGUAUAAAUAGCAAACAGCGGUUCACUGCCGGACAGAUGACCUUUGAUCAAGCUUCUGAUGUGAACUGACACUUAUUCUGCAUUAUAUAUGUACACUAAACAUUGUUUUUUGGUUUUUGUUUUUCUGUUAGAGUAAUAUUUUAAUGUUCAUGGCAAACUUCUAAUUCAUAUCACAAGCAUCAUUUUAUGAAUUUGUUACCAUUUAUUAGGCAAGAGAACAAAGGAGUUUAACAUUUAAAUGGGUUACACUUUAUUUCGAUUGUCCACUUCUACUAACUGUAAUUAACGACAUGCUAACUAACUGUCAUCAGAGCGUUUGCAGACUGUCAGGUUACACAGUAAAUUACAGUCAGUAGAUCAUCUGUUGACUGACCAUCAAAUUAAAAUUUUAGUUUUAAUGUUUAAUGUUUCAAUGAAAACAAAAACGAGUUUUCCUGUAAAUGGACCUCGCGCUCGACGCCUCUAUGACGCGCCCAGUGUGCGCGCGCGUGAUCUCACCGCGGGAGCGCGCCAGAAGACAGACGUGCGCGAGCUCAUGAGUUUAAUCUUAUAUUUUUGCCCCAGAAUGAACAAUACCAGCGAGAAUGAGCCCAACAGCCCGGAAGAAGAGUCAUUUCUCAUGUCAGGACUCUGUUUGUCAGUGGUUUGCCGCUGGAGAGCUUUACCUGUUAUUCAGGCCUUUUCAGGGUUACAAAGGAUCCUUAAUCAAAUUUACCUCUAAGCAGCCGGUGGGGUUUGUGAGUUUUGACAGUCGCUCAGAAGCGGAGGCAGCUAAGAAUGCCCUGAACGUAAGUUUAACGCUUCAUCUCAACGUAACAUUGCUAAAAAAAGACCAAAGGCUCCUUGUGUGGUGAUUUUGACAGAAGACACUUUUACACACACAUAAGCGCUGCAGUCUUCACACACACAGAGUCACAUUUCUGUAUGAAAUAGUAGAACAGUGCAGAUUUGAGCAGUUGUGGGAACUCAAGUGUGAAUCUAUCCAGAAGCGCUUUUGCCCUGAAAUCGAGACAAUCCAUAGAUUAAAGAGCUUCACCUGCCUCUCUCUCUCUCUCUCUGGUCUUCAUUGAUCAGGAUGUGGUUGUAAUCUCAGUGUGAACAGGAGAGAUUGAUCUUGAGAGGAUUUGAGCUCUGCAGUUAUAAUAAUGAGAUUUUAAUUGCCUACAUAGGCUAAUAAGCGCUCAAGCGCACGCAAAAAAGGCUUGCCACAGCGAACCGGCAAAUAUAGUAAUUAUGAAUGUGUUAUGAAUUUUGAAUUCUUGUCGCUUCAUAAUGUUACGGUUGAAUCACUGAUGACAGAUGGAGUAUUCUGAUAAUGCUUUUCACUCUUUCCUGGACCUUGACACUGUUAUUUAUUUGGCAGUCUAUGGGACAGUCUCAAGCCUCCCUGUCUUCAUCCAGAACAUCUUAAAUUGUGUUCAGAAGACGAACAAAGCUUUUACGGGUUUGGAACGACAUGAGGGUAAGUGAUUAAUGACAAAAUAUUCAUUUAGGGUGGAGUAUCCCUUUAAUAAAAAGUGUUUCUGCAUCUGUACUAAUGAUAAU